UUGGAGGGCAAGUCUGGUGCCAGCAGCCGCGGUAAUUCCAGCUCCAAUAGCGUAUAUUAAAGUUGUUGCAGUUAAAAAGCUCGUAGUUGAAUUUCGGGGUCAGUAGGUUGGUCAUGCCACUGGUAUGUACUGGCCUCACUGAUUCCUCCUUCCUGAUGAGCCGUAAUGCCAUUAAUUUGGUGUUGCGAGGAAUCUGGACUGUUACUUUGAAAAAAUUAGAGUGUUUAAAGCAGGCUAACGCUUGAAUACAUUAGCUUGGAAUAAUGAAAUAGGACGUUCGAUCUUAUUUUGUUGGUUUCUAAGAUUGACGUAAUGAUUAAUAGGGAUAGUUGGGGGCAUUAGUAUUCAAUUGUCAGAGGUGAAAUUCUUGGAUUUAUUGAAGACUAACUACUGCGAAAGCAUUUGCCAAGGAUGUUUUCAUUAAUCAAGAACGAAAGUUAGGGGAUCGAAGACGAUCAGAUACCGUCGUAGUCUUAACCAUAAACUAUGCCGACUAGGGAUCGGAUGAUGUUAAUUUUUUAAUGACUCAUUCGGCGCCUUACGGGAAACCAAAGUGUUUGGGUUC
rnacentral:rRNA from 1 species